AAGAAGUGGCAUUCUCAGGAGGGAGACCAUUCCCUUGUAGAAAAUACCCCAGAUUUUCCAUCUAGAGCUGUCAUCUUGCUGACUGAGAAGCAGCUGGAGGUAUCCUUCCUGACAUCCUCUCUGACAUGCUCUUAGGGAAAAAGAGACAUGGUGCAUCUCUUUAUUAACUGCUUCAUAAGAGCUACACUGAAGGGGGAAUCUGCUUGGCUAUAUGGAAUGUGGCUCGGCUAUAGUGGAGGAAAAUUCUGUCUCCCUCCUCUCUUCCACUUAAAAUCUGAGGGACAGUCAUGCUCCAGGAAAACGAGAAGCAUGCUCUUAUGGGGAUAGCAGAGCCCACCCUUUUCACUGGGUAUCUCAGAAAGAUGGUAGAAUCUUCUUCCUUGGAGAUCUUCAGAAGCUCUCUGGAUAUGGACCUGGAAACCUGCUGUAGAUAGCCCUGUUUGAGCUCAAGGUUGGAGCUCCAGUGGUUCCUUCCAACCUUAACCAUUCUCAGAAACUUUCUGGGAAAUUAGAUUUGUCCUUCCUGAGAAGCAUAUGGUGCACAGAAGCAAGACAGACAAGAAGGCAAGGCAGAAAAAAGGUGAAGAAAGCCAUUUAAUUUCUCUUGUGUUUACAGAAUAAUGAUUCAUUUAAGGUGGCUACACAACACCCAUGCAGUUCUAAGAUGUGAAUUUGGAUUUCUUGAAAUGUCAUGGCAGAGAUCAGUCUGAUUCUGCUGAAGGUUCUGUUUUCUGCGAAGGCAGAAGUUUUAUCACCCAACUUGCACUUUUGGUUUCCUACCCAAAUUCAUCUCUGCCUAUGUGAUCAAGAAAAUAUUUGACCUCACAAGAUGCUGGACUCUUUACCAACCACUGAAACUGAAACUGAAUUCAGCAGUAGUGUGAACAUUAAUGAAUGGGGAAAAGCUUUUAAUUGUGUCACAGAACCAGACUCAAUGAUUAAAACCAAAUAACUAACUAAUAAUAAAAUCAGAUAACUUUGAGAUCUUCAUUUUUCAUUCCUUCUGCAGCAAUUGUUUUAGCUGAAUUUGGACAUUAAAUGAGUGAUUCAUAUGAAGCAGUAAUUUCUUUUACAGGAGGUGAAGAAUAAUGAGACCAACAGUAGCUGAAGAAAUUGGAACUGGAAUAUGGCAACUGUAAAAUGUGAUGUUUGUAUAAACCUGAUGGGAACAGAUCCUUUAAUCAGAAGUGGAUCAUGAAGAAUUCUGUUGGAAGCAGACACAAGGAAGCUACAUUUAAAACUAUGUUUGAAUGCUCCUGAAAUUUUUUCCCUGGAGCAGAUUUGAAAAAGAAGAGGAGGGAACAGCAAGUGAUUCCAUAUGACUUGUUUUGGAAAUUACUUUUUUUUCCCAAGAUCAUCUCUGCUGAAAUCAAUUUCCCUUAAUGGAGAUGACCCAACUACUGUUCUAUAUUAAGGAGCCAGGUGUUCUGCUUGGUCUGCUUUGAAUAAAUGGCAGAGUGUAUCUAAAAGACAUUUUUUCAUUUCUACUUUGUCAUAUUUGUUUGGCCUGUUCCUGUUUUAAAUUGAUGACUUGGCUAAUCUAGAAUAAAAAGCCCUACGCUAAGCA